CGAAUUUUAUCAAGCGCAGUUGGAUUUUCCCGGUACACCUUCUGAAAAGGCCAAAUUGCGGAAACGGGACUCAACCAGGAUAUCACCAGCCGGAAGCUGCUUACGACCACGAAAGAUUCGGACGCGGAUUUCAUGUGGAAUCCAAAGGAAUAUAAAGGAAUUCCAGCACAGUCCCACAAAGGCAGCGUCGAACUUGAUAAAUUCACCGGAACCGGCGGGUGUUGUUAACCAUCUUUCUUUGGAUAGCAAUAUCAAAUUGGUAUAACGGAUUCAUACCAGCCACCUUCGGAAUUCCAUCACUGGCUCCGAAAAUUGCUUUUGUCGCCUGCUAAUGCUGCAUUCAAAACAUUCCGCGCAGUGCCAGACUCUUAGACCGUUGACCGGCUGCAGAAUGAUACAGUGCGUGAGAAUAUGGACACAUUGAAUCUUCCGGUAUACAAUCCGAUCUGCUGCCGUCGGACAGGUGCCUCGAUCUUCUCCUGAAUACAUUCUAGGAACACUGCAUAGAGCCUGACCGGUGCGCCUGCUGAUACCGUCAGCGUUUCCGGAACGCUAUGAAUUGCGGAAAAAAACUGAUUCCUACCGAAUUAGCAGCACACGUAUUGGGAAUCUUUUUCGAAAGGGAAAAUAGGCCAGCCAGCAGUGUGAUCUCUUGGUAAACCAGCAGCAGCGGAUUCCCACUAAUCUACCUGGAGUUUCUGGAACGCAAUGGAAUGCACGAAGAGAAGGAUUUUUACCAAAUCAGGACACGCUGAACUUGUUCCGUAUACAUACAUCAUUUUCGAAGGGUGGUGGGGAACUUGGCGCAGACCUGUACCGUAGCAAUGCGCAUAGGAAGCAUAAGGAAACCGGAAGCAGCAGCUCUUGGCCCCCAUAACCGUCCAUGUAAUCAAUGAGAUGCGGAUGGUAAAAUCAUCAACAGAACUGGCAGGCAACAGCCGUGGAACCAGAUGUAAAUCAUCACCAUCCUACAUUCAUCGUGCAGCAAGCAGGAAUGCUGUCGGAUCAUAUUUUGCAUUACACACGCACAACAUAAAACGUGGCUUCUACUCUGUCAAAAAACAAUAUUGAGGGGAAAAUAUACAUAUUUAAAUAAAUAUCGUAGACGCCCCCGAAUGUCCCUGGUUGCUGUGGCAUCCUCAUCUUUGAUGGCUCAUUCUUUCUUCAGGUCUCAUCGGUAAUGCAUAGUUUUCUCUAUAGCUGAUGGGAAAAUGUCUGGUAGCAAAUAGCAAGCCUCGAUAAAAUUUACUAUAUUUCCGUAAACGCAUAAUAGUUGGAUUUAAAAAAAUAUCGAAUGACUAGGUAAAACCGUAACUGCUUCCAGACAUUGAACUGAAAUUCCGUUCUUAGCAAACCAUGAAACUUUGGUAACCAAUACCUUCUUCUUACUGGCAAUACACCCCCCACUGGGACAGAGCCGCCUCGCAGCUUAGUGUUCAUUAAGCACUUCCACAGUUAUUAGUGAGCUAGCUACCAAGCAAUCAAUGAACCAACCAACUAAUCAACCAAUCAAUUCACCAUUCAAGCAAUCAAUAAAACUAACCAACUAAUCAACCAAUCAAGCAACCAAAAAACAAAUAACCAACUAACUAGCAGACCAAAAAAUCAAGCAACCAAUAAAUCAACUAUUUAAGCAAGCUACCAAUUAGACACUUAAUAUAUUUGUUACAUUUGGCUUGAAGGCCUUCAAUGUGAUUUUUAAAAGUUAAUUUUUGAUCUAGCAGAAGUCCUAAAUAUUUAGAAUUCUGAUAGUUUACCUGCAGUGAGCGAUCUGAUAAAUAAUUUUGGAUCAGUUUAAUAGCUGGUUGGUUGUUUGCUCAUUGUUUGUUGGUUGAUUGAUUGGUUAUUUAGUUGAUAGGUUGCUUGAUUGGUUGGUUGGUUGAUUGUUGGUUGGUAGAAUGAUUAAUUGGUUGGUUGCUGCUUGAUUUGUUAGUUGGUAGAACUGUUGAAUGGUUGGUUGCUUGAUUGGUUGGUUAUUUGGUUGAUUGGUUGUUUGACUGGUUGAUUGAUUGGUUGGUCGGCUGGUUAGUUGAUUAG